GAUGAACGCUGGCGGCGUGCCUAAUACAUGCAAGUCGAGCGAACAGACGAUGAGCUUGCUCCUCUGACGUUAGCGGCGGACGGGUGAGUAACACGUGGAUAACCUACCUAUAAGACUGGGAUAACUUCGGGAAACCGGUGCUAAUACCGGAUAAUAUAUUGAACCGCAUGGUUCAAUAGUUAAAGACGGUUUUGCUGUCACUUAUAGAUGGAUUCGCGCCGCAUUAGCUAGUUGGUAAGGUAACGGCUUACCAAGGCAACGAUGCGUAGCCGACCUGAGAGGGUGAUCGGCCACACUGGAACUGAGACACGGUCCAGACUCCUACGGGAGGCAGCAGUAGGGAAUCUUCCGCAAUGGGCGAAAGCCUGACGGAGCAACGCCGCGUGAGUGAUGAAGGUCUUCGGAUCGUAAAACUCUGUUAUUAGGGAAGAACAAAUGUGUAAGUAACUAUGCACGUCUUGACGGUACCUAAUCAGAAAGCCACGGCUAACUACGUG
rnacentral:rRNA from 1 species